rnacentral:RNase_P_RNA from 2 species
UCAGUCGGUCGGGCAGCCGCGCCUGUCAUAUGCCGAAAGGCGGCAGGUGAGGAAAGUCCGGGCUCCAUGGAAACACGAUGCCGGGUAACGCCCGGCGGGGGUGAGCUGACCCCAGGGAUAGUGCCACAGAAAGCAGACCGCCCCCCCGUCUUCCGUACCGUUGCAAUGACGAAACGGCAGGGAUGACGGGGUAAGGGUGAAAGGGUGGGGUAAGAGCCCACCGCGUCGGCAGCAAUGCAGGCGGCACGGUAAACCCCCCCAUCGGGAGCAAAACCGAAUAGGGACGGCGCGUCGGUUCGCAAGGGCCGGCAAUCGGUUUCCGGAUCAGCCGUCCGGGUGGGUUGCACGAGGCGGGUGGCGACAUCCGUCCCAGAUGAAUGGCUGCCACGUCGGGCGCAAGCCCGGCCAUACAGAACCCGGCUUACAGACCGGCUGACAAU